rnacentral:rRNA from 1 species
AUUGAACGCUGGCGGCAGGCCUAACACAUGCAAGUCGAGCGAGCGGCGGACGGGUGAGUAAUGUCUGGGAAACUGCCUGCUGGAGGGGGAUAACUACUGGAAACGGUAGCUAAUACCGCAUACAAUCAGCUGUGACCAGCGGGGAUUAGCUAGUAGGUGGGGUAACGGCUCACCUAGGCGACGAUCCCUAGCUGGUCUGAGAGGAUGACCAGCCACACUGGAACUGAGACACGGUCCAGCCUCCUACGGGAGGCAGCAGUGGGGAAUAGUGCACAAUGGGCGCAAGCCUGAUGCAGCCAUGCCGCGUGUGUGAAGAAGGCCUUCGGGUUGUAAAGCACUUGCAGCGGGGAGGCGUUACCCGCAGAAGAAGCACCGGCUAACGCCGUGCCAGCAGCCGCGGUAAUAC